ACGAACGCUGGCGGCGUGCUUAACACCUGCAAGUCGAACGGAAAGGCCCUGCUUUUGUGGGGUGCUCGAGUGGCGAACGGGUGAGUAACACGUGAGUAACCUGCCCUUGACUUUGGGAUAACUUCAGGAAACUGGGGCUAAUACCGGAUAGGAGCUCCUGCUGCAUGGUGGGGGUUGGAAAGUUUCGGCGGUUGGGGAUGGACUCGCGGCUUAUCAGCUUGUUGGUGGGGUAGUGGCUUACCAAGGCUUUGACGGGUAGCCGGCCUGAGAGGGUGGCCGGCCACAUUGGGACUGAGAUACGGCCCAGACUCCUACGGGAGGCAGCAGUGGGGAAUAUUGCACAAUGGGCGGAAGCCUGAUGCAGCAACGCCGCGUGCGGGAUGACGGCCUUCGGGUUGUAAACCGCUUUCGCCUGUGACGAAGCGUGAGUGACGGUAAUGGGUAAAGAAGCACCGGCUAACUACGUG
rnacentral:rRNA from 1 species